CAAAGCAAAUACGUCAGAUCUGCGAGGGGACUUGACACCAGCAGAGGGCCCCGUUGUUUUCAUCAGUAGGUCUUGGACCAGAUGUUCUCUAGGAAGUGAGGUUCGCGUUCCUUCCACCGCGAUCACUAUUUUUGUAAUAUUAUUCUUGUAAUUCCUACCACAUCGCUACCCCAAUUCGUUUCGUGUGUGUAUAGUUUGUUUAUUUUUGUAGUGCCGUAAUCUAUAAUGGUUCUGAAUGGCGAAGUUUUCUAGUGUGUUUGUGUUUUUUCGUGCCUCAUCGGUUUCUGUGCUGAUAAUUGUGUUGCUUCUAAACUUGGACCGAAAUGAACAUAUCAACGAUAUCUCGGUGGAGUAUCAGUUUGGGGACCGGAAUCACAUCCUGGACCUUCAGCUCAACAAGGAGCUGAUACCGGAGAACUAUUUUGAAAGACACCAGCGAAACGGGUCGAUCGUUGUGACGCGACCUGGGCCCGGAGAGGUAGAGCUUUGCCAUUACCAUGGAGUCGUCCGAGAUAUACCCGAAUCCUGGGUCGCCCUCUCAACGUGCGACGGACUUCGAGGUGUCAUUUUCGAUGGGAAAAAUAUGUUAUUUGUUGAAAAAGACAAGAACACAACAAGUCUCUCUGACAAACAUAUCGUCUUUGCUCACUCUGAUCUCAUAUCUAAUCACACUUGCGGUAAGUUACAAAUUUUUGCUCUCUGCCUUUUUCAGUCGAAACGUGAUACAGGCAGAUCAAUACGGGGACCUUACAACAUCGACUCCAACUCUCGCUUCAUUGAGCUUGUUUUGGUGGUUGACAACAAAGAAUACAUCACUUUAGACAAAAGUAUUGCGAAAACCAAUCAACACUGCAAAGAUAUCGCUAACAUAAUCAAUUCAUUGUUCAUGCCUCUAAACAUAUUUGUUGCCUUAACGGGAGUGGUUAUCUGGACAGAAAACGAUGAAAUCACACUUUCCACAAAAGGAGAUACAACUCUUCAAAACUUUCUUAUCUACCGCCGUGAACAUCUGACCAAGGAGCAUCCAAACGAUAAUGCUCAAUUGCUCACGAAAAUACAGUUUGAAGGCGGUGUUGUCGGUAAAGCCCUCAAAGGACCUAUCUGCACUUACGAAUUCAGUGGAGGCGUGAACAUGGAUCAUAGCAACGUUGUCGGACUGGUCGCCAACACGGUUGCGCAUGAAAUGGGUCACAAUUUAGGCAUGGAACACGACACAGACGACUGUGAAUGUCCAAGUGAUCGGUGUAUCAUGUCACCGUCAUCCAGUUCCAUGACCCCAACUGAUUGGAGUUCCUGCAGCAAAGACUAUCUUGCUGUUGCUUUUGGACAUGGAAUGGAUUAUUGCUUGCGGAACAAACCUGAAAAACUAUUUGACGGUGCAGUUUGUGGCAACGGGUUUGUUGAGCCGGGUGAAGAAUGUGACUGUGGUUUGAAAGAGCGGUGUGACAAUCCAUGCUGUGAUUACGCCACGUGUAAAUUGCACAGCAAUGCAACUUGUGCCACUGGCUUAUGUUGCAAUUUGAAGACUUGCCAAGUCCACAGUGCUGGGAAAAUGUGCCGUGAAUCAAAUCAUGAGUGUGAUCUUCCCGAAUUUUGCGACGGACAAUCAGAAUACUGCCCCGACAAUGUGUUCAAAAUGAAUGGCCUUAAUUGCGAUAGAGGAGAGGCGUACUGUUUUGAUGGCACUUGCCGCACUCGCUCUGAUCAGUGUCGCUCACUAUGGGGUCCAUCUGGCAACCAGUCUGAUCCAAAAUGCUUUGAUAUGAACAUGCGAGGAACAAAACAUGGAAACUGUGGUUAUAAUCUCCAAAAUAAAACUUUCGUUGCUUGUAGUCAAGAGAAUAUCGAGUGUGGAAUGCUGCACUGUCAGCAUCUGAACGAGAGGCUUGAAUUCGGAAUGGAAUCUGUUGCCAUCCUAUCUCAUUCGUACUUCAAUAAUGAGGGAAUUAUCAUCCCUUGUCGCUCAGCAAUUGUGGACUUGGGUUUAACGGAGGUUGACCCAGGAUUAGCGCCAAAUGGAGCCAAGUGUGGCAGUGGCAAAACAGAAAAGAUGUGUGUUCAUCAAAGAUGUGUUCCUGUAGCAGACGUUCUGGCCGCAACUCCGGAUAUUUGCCGUGAAGGCUGUAACGGCCAAGGUGUUUGCAAUAACAAAGGUCAUUGCCAUUGCAACGACGGCUUUGCCCCUCCAUUCUGCGACUAUCCUGGUCUCGGCGGUAGUGUUGAUAGUGGACCAGCCUCAGAUCCCAAUGCAUGGCAUGCUCUCCGGACAUUCAUCUACUUUGUUUUCUUCCUUCUGCUCCCAUUGGCAUCAGUUGUCAUGCUCUUCAUGUAUUACGUCCGUAAUCGGCAAUGCUGGGCCAAAAAACCUCACAUCGUCUCAUCCGCAAACUCUGUGGAGAAAAAGCCGCGCUUGUCACCAGAUAGGAGUCGCGCAAACCAUGAACCCAACUUUGGUCAGUCACUGCUCAACCAAAAUAACCUCCAGUCAGCCUCAAACAAUCCGAUCGUGGCUUCGCUACAAAAUAAUCUCAUCGGUCAUUUGAAAGGGUUCAAAAUCACACCGUUGCAAGUAAAAAAGUGUGAGUCAUCUGUCACGCUCGUCCCGACACGCCCGGCACCCCAGCCUUACAAAACUUCCAUCUCUGGUGUUAGUUCAGAGGUCGUAAACUCUUACAAGCCGCCCACAAACCCAAUCCGAGCUAGUGAGCCUCCAGCACUUCCACCUGCAAAUGCGACACAAAAUGAAGCAAAGCCGCUCAUCAGCUCUCCAGUUCUAGAUUCCACAACAGCAUGUAAUGUUAAAGAACUUGUCUCUUCGGCCCCAACUCGGCCAGCUCCUAGCCUUCCUCCAGCCAACCUCUCGGGCGAAGAUUUCAAUCGAUCGAAAUCCCAAAAUUCCACCCUGACGCGCAUUGCAUCAUUCAUUUCGCGCAGUCAAAAGCCUGAUGUUCCGGCAAAACCAAAGCUGGAUCGCGACACGUUGCGCAGCAUCGAAAUCUCCGACCCCAUCCCGCAAACAAACAUCGAGUUGCCGAUGAAGUCGCUUACAAUAGUUGCGGACAAGCCGAGCAUUCACCGUGCGCAUAGCUUCCGUCAAAACACAGAUGCCAAGAAGCGACCUCAGAUCCAAUCCUUCGGAUCAAUGCGAGUGCCCAAUAAUAGGCGGCCGCAGAGUAUUCCAGCCUGCACACGACCCACGUCUCCACCACCUCGACCUCCGCCACCAAUCCAGGAGUUUGCCUCAGUCUCUAACCCGGCUGACAAUAUUUAUGCAGUAAUUGAAGAGUCACCGACCGACCGGCGGGAACGCAAAGAAAUUAUUUUACCAACCAAAAAGAAUUUCAGUGGUGAUGGUUCAACAGAAAGCUCAGCAACUGAGUCUAUGGGGCUCUUAGAUGAAAUCGUCUCGGAAAUGGAAGCUCGCAAUACUGAAUCAAUCUAUUCCACUGGAACGUGGAAGAAGUAUCGUGAUGUCGAUAGCAUAUCAUCUGUGACAAAUUUCUCUAGUGUCUCAAAUGAUGUGGAUCAGCUGUACGCAAAUAUACCUCCUAAAAGUGAAGAAAUUUACUCUAAUUUACCAAAAUCCUCCAACAGCUCUACAACUAGCUCAGGAUACUUAAGUCCUAUUACCGCCAAAAAUAAAUUCGGUCUAAAACGACCGCCAGAUGACGAGGCGAAGCAAAUUAAAAUGCCAACAAUCACUGCUCCCAGUUAUAAGCCAUUAAGCCAGCUGCACCGAGAUAAUGCUCUGUCAGCCGCGUUGGGUGCUGAUUUCUCGGCUGUGCACAAUAGUACAAAGUUUCCUGUCGAUGCAAGUAAAAACUCGUCGAAAGCUACACCUAGUGUGACCCUGACGCCCAAAGAGGUAGGGGCUAAACCAGUGCUUCCAAGUAAUUUUACAGUAGUUAAUAGUCUCUCUAAAAUUAGUUCUAAUUCUAGUCACCCACUUAGUGAUAAGCCAGCGCAGCGGCCAAACUAA
rnacentral:lncRNA from 1 species